ACAACCUAAAACAGAGAGGGAUACAUUGGAUGUGACCGUGGGGACUGUGCACAAAAGUGCCCUUUGCUUAAUCAAAGCACGUGGUUGAAAAUCAGGACCCAUGGUAUAUGCACGGUGGGAGACAACCUAAUCAAGUUUCAUAAAUCAUCACAAAAUUGAAGCGAGGACCAAGACUCACAGAAAACAUGACUGAGCAAAUUACAGACCAUGAACACGCUUGAGAAAAUUUAAAACAGAAGGUGGACGCAUCUACACGCAAUGAUCUGAAUACAGUCAUUAUAUCCUCAUUAAAUGCAAGGGGGAAAUCCUUAAAUACUGUGUUCUCUCCAGAGAAUAAAAGUUUUCAGGAGUUUUUACUAUCUAA